GAUGAACGCUAGCGGCAGGCUUAACACAUGCAAGUCGAGGGGUAACAUAGAAAAGCUUGCUUUUCUGAUGACGACCGGCGCACGGGUGCGUAACGCGUAUACAACCUACCUUUUAGCGGGGAAUAGCCCAGGGAAACUUGGAUUAAUGCCCCAUAGUAUAUAGACUUCUCCUGAAGUUUAUAUUAAACAUUUAUGGCUAUUAGAUGGGUAUGCGUCCUAUUAGUUAGUUGGUAAGGUAACGGCUUACCAAGGCAGCGAUAGGUAGGGGUCCUGAGAGGGAGAUCCCCACACUGGUACUGAGACACGGACCAGACUCCUACGGGAGGCAGCAGUGAGGAAUAUUGGACAAUGGGCGAGAGCCUGAUCCAGCCAUGCCGCGUGCAGGAAGACUGCCCUAUGGGUUGUAAACUGCUUUUUACAGAGGAAGAACCACCCCCACGUGUGGGGGUUUGACGGUACUCUGCGAAUAAGGAUCGGCUAACUCCGUG
rnacentral:rRNA from 1 species